AGUGAACGCUGGCGGUAGGCCUAACACAUGCAAGUCGAACGGCAGCACAGGAGAGCUUGCUCUCUGGGUGGCGAGUGGCGGACGGGUGAGGAAUACAUCGGAAUCUACUUUUUCGUGGGGGAUAACGUAGGGAAACUUACGCUAAUACCGCAUACGACCUACGGGUGAAAGCAGGGGACCUUCGGGCCUUGCGCGAUUGAAUGAGCCGAUGUCGGAUUAGCUAGUUGGCGGGGUAAAGGCCCACCAAGGCGACGAUCCGUAGCUGGUCUGAGAGGAUGAGCAGCCACACUGGAACUGAGACACGGUCCAGACUCCUACGGGAGGCAGCAGUGGGGAAUAGUGGACAAUGGGCGCAAGCCUGAUCCAGCCAUACCGCGUGGGUGAUGAAGGCCUUCGGGUUGUAAAGCCCUUUUGUUGGGAAAGAAAUCCAGCUGGCUAAUACCCGGUUGGGAUGACGGUACCCAAAGAAUAAGCACCGGCUAACUUCGUGCCAGCCGCCGCAGUAA
rnacentral:rRNA from 1 species